GUGACAAGAAAUACCGAUGCGGGACCCUACGGGUGCCGCGUUCGGAAUGAGUACGAUUCGAACCACCUAACGAGGAACGAUCGGAGGGCAAGUCUGGUGCCAGCAGCCGCGGUAAUUCCAGCUCCAAUAGCGUACGUUAAAGUUGCUGCAGUUAAAAAAGCUCGUAGUUGAACGUUCGGGUUCCGCGGGACGGGGCCGCCCCGCGAGGGACGGCGCCGCCCCGGGGCUCGUGAUAUCUCAUCUCGCCGCCCGUCGCGAGGCGGACGGAGGGAUGGAUGAGGUUACCUGGAAAAAAUCGGGGCGAUCUAGGCGGGCGAACCUCGCCAACGAACGAUCGGACAUGGGAUAACGGAAGAGGGCGUCGGCUCGACUUCGUCGGUUCCUCGGGCCGAGGCACGUACGGUGAAUAGGGACGGUCGGGGCCGCCCGUACCGGGUCGUGAGAGGUGAAAUUCUAGGAUCGACCCGAGACGAACCGCCGCGAAAGCAUUCGGCAAGGACGCUUUCAUUAAUCAAGAACGAAAGUCGGGGGAUCGAAGACGAUCAGAUACCGUCGUAGUCCCGACGUAAACGAUGCCGACCGAGGGCCCGG
rnacentral:rRNA from 1 species